rnacentral:pre_miRNA from 1 species
AUGUUUCCUAGAGUUCCUCUGAGCACUUCAUUGGAGAUACGGUUGUCUAUUAAAUAGUAUUCUCUACUGAAGUGUUUGGGGGAGCUCUUGGACUCGU